UACAGAGGUCCCAAGCGUUGUUCGGAUUCACUGGGCGUAAAGGGUGCGCAGGUGGGCUGGUAAGUUCGAUGUGAAAGCCCCGGGCUUAACCCGGGAAUGGCAUUGGAUACUACUGGUCUGGAGGAUCGGAGGGGGGACUGGAAUUCUUGGUGUAGCAGUGAAAUGCGUAGAUAUCAGGAAGAACACCCGUGGCGAAGGCGGUUCUCUGGGACGGUACUGACGCUGAGACGCGAAAGCGUGGGGAGCGAACAGG
rnacentral:rRNA from 1 species